AAUCAACGCUGGCGGCGUGCCUAACACAUGCAAGUCGAGCGCGAAAGGGGAGCAAUCCCCAAGUAGAGCGGCGAACGGGUGAGUAACGCGUGGGUAAUCUGCCUCCGAGUGGGGAACAACAUCGGGAAACUGGUGCUAAUACCGCAUAACAUCGUCGGGUUUUCGGAUCUGACGAUCAAAGCCGGGGACCGCAAGGCCUGGCGCUUGGAGAGGAGCCCGCGUCCGAUUAGCUAGNGGUGGGGUAAUGGCCCACCAAGGCUUCGAUCGGUAGCCGGCCUGAGAGGGCGGACGGCCACACUGGGACUGAGACACGGCCCAGACUCCUACGGGAGGCAGCAGUGGGGAAUUUUUCGCAAUGGGCGAAAGCCUGACGAAGCAACGCCGCGUGGA
rnacentral:rRNA from 1 species